rnacentral:rRNA from 1 species
AAAUUGAAGAGUUUGAUCAUGGCUCAGAUUGAACGCUGGCGGCAGGCCUAACACAUGCAAGUCGAACGGUAACAGGAAGCAGCUUGCUGCUUUGCUGACGAGUGGCGGACGGGUGAGUAAUGUCUGGGAAACUGCCUGAUGGAGGGGGGAUAACUACUGGAAACGGUGGCUAAUACCGCAUAACGUCGCAAGACCAAAGAGGGGGACCUUCGGGCCUCUUGCCAUCAGAUGUGCCCAGAUGGGAUUAGCUUGUUGGUGAGGUAACGGCUCACCAAGGCGACGAUCCCUAGCUGGUCUGAGAGGAUGACCAGCCACACUGGAACUGAGACACGGUCCAGACUCCUACGGGAGGCAGCAGUGGGGAAUAUUGCACAAUGGGCGCAAGCCU